AUUUGAACGACAUAAAAACUCAAUGUUGACGAUUUCGAAUUACAAUCAUCUAAAAAAUGGUGGAUUCAAGAUCGAAUGACUUCAUGUCUGUAUUGGAAUGAACAGUCUGUGACAUUCAAAGGAUAGACAUAACGCCAUAUGAAUUAUUUGCACCCAAAAAAGUAAACGAUGGUGCUUAUUAUUAUCAUCUCAACUAACAGUAGUUGAUCAUUCGUGCGUUUGCGAGAUAAGUUUUUUCAUUAUUUCUGUGCAGUCGCAAAAAGUCAGUUCGCAACAUCAAAACGUGAAAAUACUGCUGCUUGUCAUCUUCAAGACUAACGUACCCUAGAAAAAUUGCUUUGGAGCUGAUUUCCUGGUAUUGGGAGAGAAACUAGCGUCAAAGGAUUUAUUUGCAUAUUUUCGAGCAAUGCCACUGACAUGGUGUCUUUCAACAUACAGGGAAUAGCCGUUAUUUAGUGCAAAUAACUGGUCAAAGCAUAGUAUGCAAGGCAAAGAGGGAGUACUGGAAAGGGAGUGAAAUAUACAAUAGGAUGUUGACUAUGUUGAUCGGAACUAUUAUUCUGGUGAAAUGGUGGCACUAACGAUUCAAUAUCGUACGGGAAUCACAGCCCUAGGAACCACGAGUCCCGAGAGAUUGCAGUUACAGGUAUUCUUAUCCCAAGGUUUGGAAAAUUUCCACGCGACCGGCACUAGGUGAUGGCCAAAUCUACUGGUUUCACAUAGCCGUCUUAGUCCCUGAAUCAGAUUCGAGAGCUAGACGGAUCGCAUGAUAUGCAACAUGAGGAGCCAAUGUUCGAUCUGCUUUGGUUCUAUCCCGAUGACCAUGGCGGCUGAACUACAUUGCCCCACAAUGCUGAUUACCUUUGGAAAUGUACAAUCAAUUAAACAAUCUGACGCAGAAAACACCAGCACCGCACAAACGUAAGAGAUUCUGUGAUGGAUCAACGCUGCCGCAAGAGAAUGCUGGUAGCAAUAGGUUUGUUCCAGUACCAGGAGAAACUGGAAGUACUCCGGAGAAAAUCGUUCCUGCAUUAUCUUCUUUUCUUUUCCUUCUUCUGGUAGCAAAUCGGAGUGAAAAGGAGCAAGAAUUUUUUGUUCCGGAGCAACAGGGAGUGACUUCCGUGUACUGGAACAAACCUAAUCAUUGUUAGCAGAAAGGAAACCACUCUUUUGCGCUCAAGCAAGAAACCAAGUCACCCAGCAAUUUUUAAGUUUACCGUAAAACUUGAAGGCACUGAGCUAGAUCAGCAACCUCCCGGUGCGAUUGUUAAAAGUCGAUCAACGAUCCAGUAGAAUUACGCACUAGACAAGAGAAUAUGUCCGGAAUUACAAAUUCUGACUCAUCAGAAAAAUAUCUUUAAAAAAGCACUAGCUCGGAAACGGUAUCAAUCCAAACUAUGAAAAGUUUCGACUGACUCCGACGCAAAUUCCGGAAACUUUUCGUUGAUUGCGCGAAUAUUAUAUUCUGGUACUGCUGGGUAAAUUUCACAUUGAAGAAUAAUUCCGUUGCUAGCUGCCAUGAUUCAGCAUCGAGAGAUGGAACCUAUAGUCGAGAUCGAACCAAGAGAGCAAGGCAAACCGUUGUCACUAAACGCCCUAGCAGGGGUGCCAACCUUCCAGAUUUAUCUGGAUUCAUCCAGAUUUUUGAGUGUCAUCCAGACAUACAGAUUUAUGUUUGUCUGAUCCAGAAUUUCAUAAUUUGUCCAGAUUUAUCAAGACAAUUUCGAAAAUAAAAUGAGUUACAAGAAUGCAUAGUUGAUUUUUGAACUGCUUUUUGACAUACGAUUUCUAAAACAAAACUUUUUAGAAAUACUGGAAACACAACGUACCAAAGUUUUUUUUUCGCUAAAUGUGAAUAAAUUUUGUUGAGUUUUAAUCAGCUUCAAGUUCAGUAAUGCAAGAUACUGAAAGCUCAGAGACUCGAAUUUAAUUCAUAUGAUGUAUGCUGUAAAUUAAGCCUUUAAAUCGGUCAGAUUGGCGGCACAACUAAUGAAUUUUCAGAAAGCCGAGAUAUAUUUUUAACGUUUCAUUAGAGCGACCGAAAAUAAAAGUCACAAGGACAGAACAUGCUUCGUAAAACCCGUUUCAAAUAUAUUAGAAUAUAAAAACCGGAUAUAAAACUUCAAGUAUAAAAAUCGAACUGGGACUUUCCUCUGCAAGAGUCGGAUAAAAAAACCUUCAGUAUAAAACUGGAAGAAAAUAUGUCCGAUUCUUACAAAUAAGUUUUUGUUAGCCGACUUUUAAUCAUGAAAAUCACGAUAUACGGAUGCUCCUGCGACCGAUUUAUAUAUUUUAACCGGUUUUUAUACUGGAGGCUCAUUCUUACCGAGUUUUGCGGGUGAACAUUUUUUAAACGAUUCUUAUGCUGAAGAAUUUCCGUCCGAUUUUUACGCUUGAAGUUUAUUUCCGAUUUUUAUAUUCUGAUGAAUUUGGAACGGAUUUUACGAAGCAUAUUCUAUCCUUGUGAGUUUUAUUUUCGGUCGCUUAUUAGUAAAUUGCCAAAAAUACAGCUCAUAGAUGUAAAAUGAAGCUUAUUUAAAAAAAAAAUUGGCCAUCCAGACAAAUCCAGACUUUUUCGAAAAAUUUUCCAGACUUCUCGGAAAUAUACCUGGCAUUUCUGCGCCCUAGCACUAAACUAAAACAAGUUAUAUUACACAUAAGACAUAACUUUCUCCGCUAAAGGAAGGCAACAAAUUUUUACCGUUAAAUUUGAAUACUGCGUAAUUGUCUCUCUGACACCGACGUUACGUAACAUGUUUUAACUGAAGAAUUUUUUUCGAAGACUCACGUACCGGGGGAGUAGCGAUAAAAAAAGUUGUGGUUCAGCCGGAAAUGAACUGGAUUUCUGGCUGGUUCCAGUUCGUAUUCUGGCUCCAGUAACACAACCGAUUCUAAUUAGCCACUGAAGUCGGAAUACGAACUGGUACCAGCCAGAAUUCCGGUUCAUUUCCGGCUGAGCUUAACUGGGUGCUAAAGCUGUAAGAUUGUCAUGAUGACAUUGGUAACGAAACUAUAUUAAGCAAAGUGUCAAAAGUUUGAAUUCAAUGUGAGGUUAUUUUUUAUACUACGGUAGCAUGUUACAAGCAUUUGGAUUGUGUUUUGAUGUUUUUAGAAUAUAUUAUUUUGAUCAAUAGUUUUUAAGAAACCAAUAACA